UACGUAGGUGGCAAGCGUUGUCCGGAUUUACUGGGCGUAAAGAGCGCGCAGGCGGCCAAGUAAGUCGAAUGUGAAAGCCCCCGGCUUAACUGGGGAGGGUCAUUCGAUACUGCUCGGCUCGAAGACAGGAGAGGGAAGCGGAAUUCCCGGUGUAGUGGUGAAAUGCGUAGAUAUCGGGAGGAACACCAGUGGCGAAGGCGGCUUUCUGGCCUGUUCUUGACGCUGAGGCGCGAAAGCUAGGGGAGCAAACGGG
rnacentral:rRNA from 1 species